GCCAGGGUGGUGUAGUGGUUUGAGUGUUAGACUAUGACUCUGGAGUCCAGGGUUUGAUUCCCCACUCGGCCA
rnacentral:tRNA from 1 species